rnacentral:rRNA from 1 species
AGACCCGAAACCCGGUGAUCUAGCCAUGGGCAGGUUGAAGGUUGGGUAACACUAACUGGAGGACCGAACCGACUAAUGUUGAAAAAUUAGCGGAUGACCUGUGGCUGGGGGUGAAAGGCCAAUCAAACCGGGAGAUAGCUGGUUCUCCCCGAAAGCUAUUUAGGUAGCGCCUCGUGAAUUCAUCUCCGGGGGUAGAGCACUGUUUCGGCUAGGGGGCCAUCCCGGCUUACCAACCCGAUGCAAACUGCGAAUACCGGAGAAUGUUAUCACGGGAGACACACGGCGGGUGCUAACGUCCGUCGUGAAGAGGGAAACAACCCAGACCGCCAGCUAAGGUCCCAAAGUCAUGGUUAAGUGGGAAACGAUGUGGGAAGGCCCAGACAGCCAGGAUGUUGGCUUAGAAGCAGCCAUCAUUUAAAGAAAGCGUAAUAGCUCACUGGUCGAGUCGGCCUGCGCGGAAGAUGUAACGGGGCUAAACCAUGCACCGAAGCUGCGGCAGCGACACUCAGGUGUUGUUGGGUAGGGGAGCGUUCUGUAAGCCUGCGAAGGUGGCCUGUGAGGGUUGCUGGAGGUAUCAGAAGUGCGAAUGCUGACA